CUUGGGGACUGGUCUAGAAGUGUUCUAACCUGAGCGGGCUUGCAACGGACCUUCGGAUUAUCUCCGGCUGAUGCGUGAGGGAUUUUGGAAGCUUAACUUGAGCAGGAUUGAGACCUAGUGGAGCUGAUCCUUGGGA